GCAUCGAUGAAGAACGCAGCGAAUUGCGAUACGUAAUGCGAAUUGCUAAAUUCAGUGAGUCAUCGAAAUUUUGAACGCAUAUUGCACUUCUUGGGCUAGUCCUACGAAGUAUGCCUCUAUCAGUGUCC
rnacentral:rRNA from 1 species